ensembl:lncRNA
GGCCGGAAGGUCUGACCUGGACCGCUGGUCCCCUGGAGCGUCCCGGAUGACAGCUGAGGAAUGCUGUUUUGUGAGCCGACUUCCGAAAAAAAAAAUGCGUAUUUAUUUCUAAGAACUCUUUAUGGUGCACAAAUGCCUUGCUGUCUGGUUCAAAACUGGCACCAGACAACCCCCACCUCUACCAAACCUUUCCCGAUGAAGCAGGAAGGGAAAACGCUUUUUGUGAGAAGAGGAUAAGCCCCUGCAGGCUCUAUGGAAAUCUCCAUACCCACGUAGCACCAGCUCCCUUGAGCUUCACGGUAGUCCCACGAGUAGGCAGAGGACGUUCAUCUGUGUUUAUCUAGACUGGAACUGUGGGAUAUAGAUGGUUUCAGGCCUCGCUGCUCUAUGUUCCCAACCAGGCCU